ACUGCUUCUUGUUUGGCUUUAUAUGCAUAAAUGAUGGUCUGGUUUGCCUUAUCUUUAAAGUUAGUUUGUAAUUAUAUAUGUCUUUUGUUGAGCUGUCAGCUUCUCUGGACUACAUGACUAGGACAGUCAAACAAUAAGCAAUGCCAAUUAACUAAUCACUAUCGAUUUGAGAUAAUUGUCAUUAGAAUCAAAUGGAGGGUUUCCAUGACUGUAACAUUUUAUCCUAGUAGAUUCUUCUUCCAUAAAUGGUAGUUUUUCGUGUUUGAAGAUGUUGCAUUACAAUCUUUGCUUUCAGAGUAUCUUCCUUAAAUGAUAGCAAAACCGGGAUGCUGAUACUAUAGUAUUUAUAGCACCUUCCCUAAACUUGUUUGCUGUAAAUUUUCACAUCACACCUAUCUUUGAUUCUCCUUAAUAGACUGCCCUUAAUGUCCUUCAACAGUUAUAAAUAGAAAGGUAGAUAAUAUAUCUGCUUCUGGGAUCCUUUGCUUUGCUAUAGGGAAACAGUGGACAGGAUCUGAGAAAGAGUUACAUUCAAUUCUUUUUCUUUGGUGAUAGACAGUGCUGAGAACUCGAUGAUAUUUCCAGCUUUUUGUGUUUCCAUUUCUAAUAUAGUUAGGGAUCAGUACCAAUUAUCACCAUUUGUCCUUGUUAUCGCGCCAGUGCAAUAAUUGGUCGCAGGGUUCCUCCUUUAUUUAGCAGUGGGGAGAGAGGUCAAUCUGAAGUGAUGGAUUUUGCUAGGGCUCUUUUCAAGCGGCAUAAUUGGUUUAAUCAUGGAAAGCAGCAUUUGGAUAGGAAGAUUGGACUAAUGAAAGAUGUGCAGGAAAAAAGUAUAUUCUGUUAACCAAGUAAUGUCAUUCUAGUUCGGACAAAAUUUUCUUCAAUAGGCCUACUUAAGUUUGGGGCUAGCUGCGUCACUAUGUGGAAAGUUACAUGAAGUUGAGCAUGUCAGGGACAAGGGGUUCGGUUUCAGGUUUCCAGACUCUUAAAUAUAUUUACUACUGAAAAGUGCUUGACGGAGUGAAGCAUUCUUAAAUGGAGAGUGAAGUGUAAUGUAAGUUCCCGGGAACAAAUUCUAAUUAUCAUUUGACAGAAUGAAUUCUUCCUCCUAAGCUGGACCAAAACUUUCUGGUUUCCAUAAAAUAGUAUAUCCUUGGUCUUAUUAUGAGGCCUGUUGUCAAAGAAAGAUUUGCAAUUCUUGAAAAAAAGAGGUUGAAGGUCUGUGGUCAAAGGAAGAUUUUCAACUCUUGAAGAAAGAUGGUUUUGUAGUCCAAGUUUGCAAGUUCUGCUUGUGCUUUUUUGAUAAGAAAACCAUGAAUAGCCUGGCUUUUAUCUUUCUAGUAGAAAUCAUACUGGAGCCAACUACUAGAGGUGAUAAUACAAAUUGAAGGAGGUUUCAGGAACUAAAGAUCACUUGGGUACAUUCCUCCAAUAAUUUCUAACAUCUGCGAUUACUUUCAUCGGAAGAUAUUAAGAUAAUAAUGUAAAUGUGCUACCACUAUAAAUAGAUUUGUUUUAAAAUUAGUAAAUGGAAAACCUGGUACUAUAAAUAGAUAAACUCUUAAGAUAAAGAGGUAGUAAUUGUUAUAGGUUUCGACUGUUAGAGAAAAUUAGGAAGUAUUGAUGAGUAUCUACACUAGAUAUGUAGUUGACUAUUUCCCAAGGAUGUACUUUUGUCUUUGUGUUGUGUUGCCCGGGCUCUAAUCCUGUUUGUGUAAUAAACUGCUUCUCUUCAUGUUGUAAGACUAAAUCAUAGUUAUAGUUAAAAAUACUAAGGGUGGAGUUCGACUUAGUAAAAGUUGCAUGUGUCAAAUGGUGUGCUCUACAUUUCAACCUGAACUAAGAGUCACUGGGCAAUUUCUUUUUUCCUAUGUUCAAGUUGUCUUAAUGUUUAUCUUCAUUAAAAAUGUUGUCUAAUGUUGAUAUAUUUGUUUUUUGCAACUGGAGAAGGUAUGAUAGUCUCACUAAUCACUUGUAAUACCUAUCGGUUUGACUCGCCAUCAACUAUUUUGCUGAUUCAUGCGAUGAUAAAACUUAUCAAUUGCCGAUCAUUUGUUGAUUCAGGGGACUACUUAUAGAAUUUGUAU